rnacentral:rRNA from 1 species
GCCUUACUCCAUGGUCUCCGUGUGGCUAAGGAGAUGAACUUAAGCCGAGUACGAUGGUUCGGAGGCUCUGAUCUGGUGGCUCGGCAAGUUUCUGGUACUUGGGACUCUAAGGGUACACUCAUGGCGACUUACAGACGAGAGGUGGAUAUUGUGGCAGGUCACUGCAAGGGUUAUCAGGUUGAGCACAUUGAUCGGUGCAAAAAUGAAGCAGCAAAUGCUUUAAGCCGGCUGGGGUCUCAACGUAAACCGGUACCACCCAAUACCUUUCUGGAUAUCCUGCAUAACCCAUCUGUUAAAUUGCCUAUAGAGGAGGGUUUAUCAAUUCCUGACCCGGAGGCACAGUUGGUGGCCUCUUUGCAUAUAAUUCCAGAUUGGACGGUUCCAUAUUUGGCGUAUAUGAACCGGGGC